AACCAUUAGAAAGGAAGAGAAAAAGUUAUUCUCUCUUCUCGGUUUUCGUCCAUUUCUGCACACCCAUUUUCUUUGCAUCAUAUCUCCUUCGUUUCUUAUCCGAAUUGAGCAAGUGAGUAGUCAAAAUCUAUCUACUAGGAAAGAUCUUGCUUGUGGUAUAAUUUGUUUUUGAAGAAAGGGGAAUACGCGACUGCAGUUUUCGUUGCAAUCAGACGAGUCAUCCGGUUUUGUUCCCUGUCGCACCUUUACGAAACUAACCGUAGCCGGAGAUCUAACCGUUGGAUAGUCUUCAAAUUUGGACAGAACGUUUAUGACAUCUUGUUCUUCACUUUGACCGGAGCGAUUUGGAUUGCGAGCUUUUGAUCACCGCGAAUCAUAGUCGGAACAGAGAAGUGCAAAAUAAGAGUUUUCAACAUUCAAGGAAAAGAUGGUGACGCUGUUUAGAGUGGUUCUAGUCUGGCUCGGAGGUGUGUGUGUUCCCCGUGUGAGCAAAGAAAGGGAGCUUGUCCUAGUGGAUGAGUAUUUCAAUCUGGACUCAGGAUUAGAUACUUAGUUGCUUUAAGUAGCUAAUUCUAGUUUUGACUUAUGUAUUGGAACCAUGGAUUUCAGUUGUCAUAGUUUUCUUUACUCUAUGAUUUUGAGGUUUACUUGUGUGGUUGUAUGACUCUUGAGACUUAUUGGAGAUGAGGGUAUGGGACCUCAUUUUCCCUUUUGAUUAUAUGUACUGGAGUUGACUUUUCC